rnacentral:rRNA from 1 species
CGGCAACAGCUCAAAUUUGAAAUCUGGCCCCAGGCCCGAGUUGUAAUUUGCAGAGGAUGCUUUUGGCGCGGUGCCUUCCGAGUUCCCUGGAACGGGACGCCAUAGAGGGUGAGAGCCCCGUACGGUUGGACACCAAGCCUUUGUAAAGCUCCUUCGACGAGUCGAGUAGUUUGGGAAUGCUGCUCUAAAUGGGAGGUACAUUUCUUCUAAAGCUAAAUAUUGGCCAGAGACCGAUAGCGCACAAGUAGAGUGAUCGAAAGAUGAAAAGCACUUUGAAAAGAGGGUUAAACAGCACGUGAAAUUGUUAAAAGGGAAGCGCUUGUGACCAGACUUGCGUCCGGUGAAUCACCCAGCUCUCGCGGCUGGGGCACUUCGCCGGCACAGGCCAGCAUCAGCUUGCCGUCGGGGACAAAAGCUUCAGGAACGUGGCUCCUCUCGGGGAGUGUUAUAGCCUGUUGCACAAUACCCUUCGGCGGGCUGAGGUACGCGCUCCGCAAGGAUGCUGGCGUAAUGGUCAUCAGCGACCCGUCUUGAAACACGGACCAAGGAGUCAACCUUAUGUGCGAGUGUUUGGGUGUCAAACCCCUACGCGUAAUGAAAGUGAACGCAGGUGAGAGCUUCGGCGCAUCAUCGACCGAUCCUGAUGUUCUCGGAUGGAUUUGAGUAAGAGCAUAUAGGGUUGGACCCGAAAGAAGGUGAACUAUGCGUGUGUAGGGUGAAGCCAGAGGAAACUCUGGUGGAGGCUCGCAGCGGUUCUGACGUGCAAUCGAUCGUCAAACAUGCGCAUGGGGGGCGAAAGACUAAUCGAACCUUCUAGUAGCUGGUUUCCGCCGAA